UCCCUCUCAGGUUUGCAUCUGGAGAGUGUCCAGUACUCUACCAGUCUCGAGUACAGGAGAGAGAGUCAAGCAGAGUCAUAUCCACUCCAUUCCUAGCUGGGACAGUGGCUAGCAAGUGGAAGGCAAUCUCCUACAAGU